UUCUUCUUAGCUCAAUUGGUAGAGCACAUCACUCAAAUACCACAAGAUUGGAAAAUUUCAGGCUAUCUUAUGAUGACUGGUCAGUGGGUCGAACCAACUAGAAGGCA